GGACGCUGCGAUGUGUCUCCGGUCACACCCCAGCCGUGGCAUUUGGAAGGGAUGCCAUGGAGCUCAGGGAGCAUUUGCCGUUGCCUUGUCUUUGCUCGCAUAGGCGAGGAAAGUCUCCCCAUGAGGGGAGCAGCUGUGACGCACGCCCGGAUUUAUGUUCGCAGGGAAUAUCCGUGGGGAAACACAAGUUGUAAAUGUCUAAUUCUUCGGCUUAGUAACGGAAACUGAGGAAAUGACAUGUCUUUGAGUGAUUUGGACUGUUUCCAGAUAAAUUCUUCCACCGUGUGCUAUGAAGAAGAAAAAACUGUAAGAACUAAAGGCCUAGAGACCAUUUUCAAUUACCUUGCAGCAAUACGAGGUCUGUUGGACAACUGGAUGACUACAGCUUCUAGGAAAAAGAAAAAUAAACGGAGUGACUAAUGACUAGUUCAU